UGAAACCAGGUUAGAUACCCCGUUAUACCGGGUCGGAAGUAAUAAAGUCUUGGGUAGUAGUAAUUAAUUAGUUUGAAAUCCAAAGGGGUUGGCGGUAUCUUAGUCUAGCUAGAGGAACCUGUCUUGUAAACGAUGCUCCGCGUAGUAUUUUUCUUGCUUUGGUUACAGUUAGUAUACCGUCAUUAUUAGACAGCUUUAGUCAGCAAAGAAGUUGUUGCAAUUAAGAGGUCUUAAGUAUAUUAGAUCAUGGUGCUGCUUAUGAGUAAGUAUAGAUGGGUUACAAUAAGUUCAAUUUAUUACGGAGCUGUAGGUGAAAUGCUGCAGGGAAGGUGGAUUUAAUAGUAAUGUGGGUUUAAUACGCCUGGGUGAGAUUAGCUUUAAGAUGUGUACAUAUCGACCGUCGCAA
rnacentral:rRNA from 1 species